rnacentral:rRNA from 1 species
UACGUAGGGUGCAAGCGUUGUCCGGAAUUAUUGGGCGUAAAGAGCUCGUAGGCGGUUUUUCGCGUCUUGCGUGAAAACUGGGGGCUUAACUUCCAGCUUGCGGUGGAUACGGGCUGACUGGAGUGCGGCAGGGGAGACUGGAAUUCCUGGUGUAGCGGUGAAAUGCGCAGAUAUCAGGAGGAACACCGGUGGCGAAGGCGGGUCUCUGGGCCGUUACUGACGCUGAGGAGCGAAAGCGUGGGGAGCGAACAGG